AGUGGGGAAUAUUGCACAAUGGGGGAAACCCUGAUGCAGCCAUGCCGCGUGUGUGAAGAAGGCCUUCGGGUUGUAAAGCACUUUCAGCGAGGAGGAAAGGUUGGUAGCUAAUAACUGCCAGCUAUGACGUUACUCGCAGAAGAAGCACCGGCUAACUCCGUGCCAGCAGCCGCGGUAAUACGGAGGGUGCAAGCGUUAAUCGGAAUUACUGGGCGUAAAGCGCACGCAGGCGGUUGGAUAAGUUAGAUGUGAAAGCCCCGGGCUCAACCUGGGAAUUGCAUUUAAAACUGUCCAGCUAGAGUCUUGUAGAGGGGGGUAGAAUUCCAGGUGUAGCGGUGAAAUGCGUAGAGAUCUGGAGGAAUACCGGUGGCGAAGGCGGCCCCCUGGACAAAGACUGACGCUCAGGUGCGAAAGCGUGGGGAGCAAA
rnacentral:rRNA from 1 species